GUCUACGGCCAUACCACGUUGAAAACACCGGCUUGCAAUCUGCAGGCAAACAGAAAGAAGGUGGACUCUGUCCCCACAGCAAAUUUUGUAUCCCGAGAGCUAUGAAUUUUCCCCCAAAAAUGUCCUCGUCUGAUCACCGAAGUUAAGCAACGUCGGGUCCGGUUAGUACUUGGAUGGGUGACCGCCUGAGAAUACCGGGUGCUGUAGACU
rnacentral:rRNA from 1 species